AAACAAUCACCAUGCAGAAAGGUUACAAACAGUUCUAAAUAGCAAAUAACGGGAUUCAAACGUAGACUGUGGGGAAAGUGAAAUGUUUAAAGAAACCACAACGUGUUUUAACUUUUUAUCCUCAGCUUUUUACAUCUCUAUAAUGCUUAAUUAAGCAUAAUACGUUAUAAGGAAUUCAUGACAGUCGUGUCAACGCUGCCCAGAGCUACAGCAUUACGCGCGCUACUAAAUCAAAUUGUAUUGCUCACAUACACGUCCCAUGGGUGACUACAAUUUAUGCAGUGUCUGUGAGUCUGUAAAACUGGGAAAUGUCAUAAAGAUACAUGAAGAUAAUACAUAGUGACGUGUAGCGCACAAUAAUCUACACAUUCUUGCAGACGAACGGAGCGCUGUCCAUCCCUAAGCGACAUCGCACUUCAAGUCGUGGACUAGUCCGAAGUGGUGAUCAGGACGAGAUGCUGCUUCCUAAACCAUUCCAGAUGACUAUGACCAAAACCGGCGGCUGUAUUUAAAUAAGAACUAAGGGUGUGAAUGUUGAGAAAGGACAACAUGGGGAAAGGAGUGGCUCUGUUCCUUCUACUGUUGGCACUUCUUCACGAGGCCAUAGGCCAGAAAAGACGAAAAGGAAAGUAUAGUGUCCUCAGAGAUGGAGGAAAUGACAUGACAACAUGCUCCAUGGAGGUGGCCUUCAUUCUGGACAGUUCGGAGAGCGCCAAGACCUUCCUGUUCGAGAAGCAGAAGUCCUUUGUUCUGCAUUUCAGCACUCGUCUCACCAUGCUCCAGUUGUCUGGAUGGACCCUAAAGUUCCGGAUGGCUGCUCUCCAGUACAGCAGCUCCGUGUCUGUAGAGCACAGCUUCACUGCCUGGCAGGACCUGGAUGUGUUCCACAGCAGAGUCAGCUCCAUGGCCUACAUUGGCCAUGGCACCUACUCCACCUACGCCAUCACCAACGCCACGCAGCUCUUCACCCAGGAGACCAAGGAGGACAGCGUCAGGGUGGCGGUGCUCAUGACCGACGGUGCCGAUCAUCCGAGGAACCCUGAUGUGAUCGGAGCAGCAGCGGAUGCUAAGGGUAGUGGCGUGAAGCUUUUUGCUGUAGGGUUGUCGGACCUGGCCCGCCAGAGCCAGAACAGUGCCAAACUCCGGGCUAUCGCCAGCACACCGACCAAGCAAUUCGUCCACAGUCUCACUGACCCCCAGCUAGAGGAGAAGUUACUGAAAGAGUUGGGUGCAAUAGCGCUUGAGACGUGUCCACAGGCUAAAGUGUGUUUGUGUGAAAGAGGGGAGAGAGGCCCUCCUGGAAACCCAGGUCAAAAAGGAGAUCCAGGAUAUGAAGGACCAUCUGGUCCAAAAGGAUCAAGGGGAGAACCGGGAGUCAGUGGCCGACCAGGAAGUGACGGUCUUGAGGGCAGUCCUGGUUAUAAAGGUGACAAGGGGGUGAUAGGAGACUGUGGCACCCCUGGGGGAAAAGGAGAUGAAGGCCCUGGAGGACCUCCUGGCCCACGGGGACCCAGAGGAGACCAGGGUGUUAACGGACCACCCGGGGACCAGGGUCCGGAGGGCCAAACAGGACCUAAAGGGGACCAAGGAACCACCGGUGCAUCUGGACCAGCAGGUGACAUUGGCAUUGGGUUCCCAGGUCCAAAGGGGGCCAAAGGAAUUCAGGGAAGACCAGGAACCCUUGGUCCCAUUGGAAUUGGAGAGCCAGGACAGCCAGGACCCCCAGGACUUGCUGGAGCUCAGGGUAACCAGGGAGCUGUUGGGGAGGGGCUCCCUGGCCCAAAGGGGGAUCGAGGCUACGAGGGCCCCAGAGGUGAGCGUGGUCUCACUGGUGUUGGGGUCAAAGGUGAUAAGGGAAAUCCUGGACAGCUUGGAUCACAAGGACCGGUGGGAAUGCCAGGGGCAGGAAUUCAAGGAGAAAAGGGGAACCAAGGGCCAGUUGGCCCUCCAGGCCCCAGAGGGAAUCCAGGUGUGGGACUUAUGGGCCAAAAGGGAAGCCAAGGCUUCUCAGGUGAGCCUGGAAUCCCAGGGGAGAGUGGUGUUGGGGAGCCAGGACCUAAAGGAGAACCAGGAUCGGAGGGGUUACCUGGUAUUCCGGGCCUCUCUGGAGAGGAUGGAGACAUAGGACAGAAGGGUGACAUUGGGUUACAUGGGCCCAGGGGACCUGAUGGGGCACCCGGAAAAGGUGUCCCUGGAGAAAAGGGGGACCGAGGGGAGCGGGGCUCCAGGGGCCAGCUAGGGGCAGUAGGGCCUGUGGGGCCAAUGGGGGCCAAGGGUGAAACCGGAAGUGCUGGACGAGCAGGUACAAAUGGACCACCUGGGCGGGGUUUACCCGGAAUCAAGGGGGACCCUGGUGCAGUAGGCCCACCCGGACAUGUUGGUGAACCAGGAAUAGGAAUCACUGGACCGAAGGGUGAGAGAGGGCUACCAGGGCCCAUUGGUCCAGCUGGGCUUAAAGGGGAAGGCCUUCCUGGAACCCCAGGAGCCCCUGGAGUACCAGGACUGACAGGUGAGAUUGGACCAGAAGGAAAAGGUUUACCUGGUCCUAAGGGAGACCGGGGAACUCCAGGCCCCACAGGACUAGCUGGAGCACCAGGAGUUGGGCUAAUGGGUCCCAAGGGGUCAGCUGGUCAGAUUGGAGCACCGGGUCCCCAGGGACUGCCUGGAGAGGGCAUUCAAGGACCAAAGGGGGAGUCAGGAUUCCAGGGGAUCACGGGCCCCAGGGGGCCCCCAGGACAGGGUAUUCAAGGGGAUAAGGGAGACAGGGGGUUCGUGGGCGAACGAGGCAGAAAGGGGGACAGUGGAGAGACUGGAGAGACAGGAGCUCCUGGACCUUUGGGCAGACUGGGAGAAAAAGGGGAAGCUGGCCUAACAAGAGAGGAGGUCAUCAAACUGGUCAGAUCUAUAUGUGGUUGUGGGGUGAAGUGCCGUGAGAGCCCACUGGAGUUGGUCUUUGUGAUUGACAGCUCAGAGAGUGUGGGCCCUGACAACUUCAACGUGGUUAAGGACUUUGUGAACGCUCUGGUCGACCGUGCCUCCGUGAGCCGGGAGACCACUCGCAUCGGGGUGGUCCUCUACAGCCACAUCAACAUGGUGGUGGUCAGUCUGCACCAGCAAGCCAGCCGGGACCAGGUGAAGAAGGCGGUUCGCACUAUGACCUACCUGGGCGAAGGCACCUUUACGGGCAGCGCCAUCCAUCAGGCCAACCAGGUGUUCCGGGCGGCCAGGCCCGGGUGAGGAAAGUGGCCAUAGUGAUCACAGAUGGACAGGCGGACGAGAGGGACUCUGUGAGGCUGGAGGAGGCAGUGAAAGAGGCCAAUGGCAGUAACAUUGAGACGUUUGUCAUCGGGGUGGUGAACCAGAGUGAUCCGCUGUACGAGGAGUUUAAGAAAGAGCUCCACCUCAUGGCCUCUGACCCAGACAGGGAACACGUCUACCUGAUUGAUGACUUCAGGACACUUCCUGCCCUUGAGAGCAAGCUGCUGAGUCGGAUCUGUGAGAGUGAUGGCGGGGCCCAAUUCAGCUCCAUCCCUAGCUCCAGAUACUCUCCCGGAACCCCUGGACAAGCCGGGAUUGUCAGGGAAACCCCAGAGAGGACUGAUACUGACACGCCCACUUUCAAUGGAGACUUUACAAAAACACAGAUGGUGCCAGGUCCACCAGGAGAGUCAGACAAAGUCUUUAUCCCACAGGGCCCCCAGAUCGGGGACCGAGAUAACUCUGAGACCUACAGGGUACCAUCCUUUGACAGGGAACCCUUCAAGCGCCUACCAGAGUUCCUUCUUCCGUCAGAGAUGAAGAACCCCUCCCACAGUGUGGUCACGACGGGCUCCCAGGCCCCCACCCAGAGGCCCCAUCCCGUAGUAAAGCUACCCGGGCUCCCCCCAACCUCUCCCCCAACCUCUCCACCUCUGCCCCAGGAUGCUUUAAUACCAGAUGAGAGAUGUGGACAGAUUCUGGACCCCGGGCCUUGCAGGAAUUACUUUGUGAAGUGGUACUAUGACACUACGGCUAACGCCUGUGCCCAGUUCUGGUUCGGAGGCUGUCAGGGAAACCAAAACCGAUUUGAAUCGGAGAAGAGCUGCAAAAAAACCUGUGUUAAGUUCUAACAUACACACAUUUGUUGACUUGUUUUGAAUGCUUAUAAAUCUACUUGACUGUAUUGAUAAGACAUGAUAUAUUUGGGUCAAAGGUGGGUCAAUUUCAAUAUCAGUGCCUUAUCGCUUCACCAAUACUUUGACAUGUGGAUAGAAAUGGAUAGAAAACUUGUCGGAGAGAGUACUAGGUGAUGUUGGGACCAAAUGUUCGAUCACAGUUAUUUUGGAUUCGUAUUCCCUCGUCUUGGAACUGUUGGCGGUAACAUGGCACCAAUUCAAUUUAACUUGAAUUAAAUAUAAUUUAUCCCCUCAGGGGCAAUAAGCUAUUUACAUAACUCUGUAUAUGUGUGUCUUUGUUUUAACAUAAGCUCCCUCAUUUCUUGGAGGUAACUGUAAGUGAAUGAGACUUAGGGCUUUUGAAAGAAGUAUAGAGUGAGGGAACCAUUCCAUUUAUUCAUGUUCAAGAUGGGGUAAUAAGGGCAGUGCGAAACGUAUUGAUUUCCAAAAACACUGUUGAACACUAAAUGGUAAUGUUGCAAAUGUGGCAGGUCUUAACACUAACCUUUAUCCUGAUUAACUUUUCUAUAAGUAACUCAUUUGUAUGAAAACUGACUGCUGGAUAUUAUUGUUUAUAACACUGCACAAUUUCAUUAAAGUUAAUUAAAUGAA